UGGCCAAUUGUACAUACCUCUGUUGCUGUUGAAUGUAACUCAUAAUACAUAUAUUUCUCUGCCUGAAUUGUAAAACUCAAAACCUUCACUAACUGGUACCUCGUAAUCUUUGUCACCUUGCUUCUUUUAUUUGUUGAAACUUGUAUCUACCUUCUGAUUCUCUUGUUGAUUUUUAAACCAUAUGGGUGGAUAGAUAUUCACGCCUUACGCCUGCUUAUCAAUAAACUUUCACGCUUUAGUACACAUAUAAUCUACUGAAGACCUUACAUUUACUCAUCAUAAGCAUGAUACAAAUUUAUGUUUCAUUGACUCAACUCUUCCAUAACAAAGUUUCUCUUACCUACUAUCUGUUUGGAUGAGGAAUCAUUGUGUUACAAAUAAAAUAGAAUUUACAAGUUUGAAUUCUUACAAUUGUGCUCUACCACACGAUCUAGAGUAAGAAGAAAGAGUGACAGUAAUAAAUGCCCUGCAGCCUCCUACUUAUAAGUGUAGUGCACUACACACCCAUAAAUAAGACUCUACUAGACACGGCUUGUAGACUCCCUAGAACAGAACUGCUCUGAUACCACUUCUGUCACGACCCAAAUUGGAGGGCCGCAAUGGGCAUCCGGUGCCUUACCCAACCGAGUACCAACAUAACGUAUUCUUUCUUAUCAUACCAUUAUGGGUAAAUAGGAUGGAAGGGUCGUCAUGAUAUAACCAGAAUGAAACAUAAGGGAAUACUCAACAUAGGAUGACCCAACAUGAUAUACAACCUUAUACACGUGACAUGCCUAUAAGACCAAAAUGAACACUCGUACAUUGAACAUAUGUUGACAAGGCCAUACAAUCUUUCAUAUGCAUGACAUCUGUCUACAAGCCUCUAAGAGCACACACAUAUUAUAAGGUCGGGGCAGGACCCUGCCAUACCAAUGAAUACAUGUCCAAAUCAUAUUGACCAAAUAGGCAACUCCGGAGAAAGUGUUGUGCACCAACACCUUCUGUUGAGCUAAUAGCCUACUAGGAUGUCAACCUAUCUAUCGGGACCUGUAGCAUGAAAUACAGUGUCCCCAGGCAAAAGGGACAUCAGUAUAAAUAAAGUACCGAGUAUGUAAGGCAGGAAAACAUAAAUAAGAACAGUAAUGUAAAGAGAGAUAGAGGAGAUACAACCUGUAACAUCUGAGUGCCUCUAGGGGCUACUGACAUGAAAUGCAUAAUACAUAUAUAUACAUAAACUUUUUAAAAGCAUACGUCUUUGUGGGCAUCAUCAUCAUCACAUCGUACCCGGCCUCAAAGAGGACCUGGUAAAAAAAACGUACCCGGCCAUCAUAAGGCUCAGUAGAAUCGGACCCGGCCACGUGGAGCUCGGUAAUCCCAACCGAUUAGUUGUUGCACAAUAGGUGUCGUACUCGGCUGACUAUAGCGCACCUCGGUAGAGUAAAAUAGAUACAUAUAUAUAAUGCAUGCUCGACUCAUGGAAUCAUGCUCUAAACCUUUUAGAGUGAUGUAUGGUCAGUAUCCUCUGUACACAUUAUCAGGACUAACUCUUCACUAUGAACCUUAUAAGAAUCAGGAAGUAUCAACAACAUUGAUAACAUAAGAAUAAGAGAAGCAACAUCAACAUCAAUUGUUCCAUAAGAGGGGAAACAAUUUAAGUACUGCUAGCUUCUAAGAGUAGAGUAUCUUUGGAAGAUCGUUCAUUACAUUACGUACAAUCGGAGUCAUGCAAAAGAAGGAAAAGGAUAGCCUCACAUACCUUGUAUAUGUACUGCCCAACCUCAAGCUAUGCAAAUGUCAUGAUUUCUUAGUCUACAAUAAAAGAAAUGACACUAUCGUUAUCGUUUUAGCAUCGUAAUUAUUAUGUAUCGGCCACAACCUAUUUCACAAUGAAAUGGAAAGCACCUCCCCUAUAUAUAUAACUUCACACAAGUCAAAAAAAUCAGAAACAGCCCAACAUAUCUCUAUCACUUCACACACAACACGACAACCAUAAUAGUAUUAAAUAAUCCGAAAAUAUUACGACGAACGACCAACAAACAACCUUGCCAUUAUGUGGUGUUUCUCUACAUUAUUCCUCCUCUCAACUCCAAAAAAAAGUAGCAAAAGAGACAACCCAAUACCAACAUGAAACAACCCACAGAACAGUCCCCUAAGUUUAUCAACUCCAAAGUAAUUUUUCAGUUUACUUAAACACCUUUCGACUUGUCUUUUCUCUCAAUUGAGAAAAACAACCAAAAGUACAUAGUUAUACCUAUUAUCCAAUAAAACAACCAUGAAUUCAACUUAAAAAUAAGUUCACAAUCAGCCAACCAUUACACAAGAAUAAACAACAUACCAUUCUUUCGAAACUAGCUAGGUUUAUUAUUUACGAUCGAGUUACAACUCACAAACGCAUAGAUAAUGGAAGGAGAAGCAUAAAAUUACCUUGUACUGAGUAUAACCCACGAAACCUGGUCUGUCUUCAUCAAAAAUAAGUUCCUCAACACGGCUACAAGAAGGAGAAAGAGAAACUAGCAAGCUGUCUGGACUUUUCAGCACUAGAAUUGUGUCGUAACACCCGGAAUAUCCUAGGGUUUGUGUAGGAUUUUUGGGGAGGAGUUGCAAGGAUUCAAUUAGGUUUUCUUGUUCUUAAAGAUAGGUGAAAUAACUGAGUUGAUAGUCCCUUAAAAGACCCCUCUUGGCCGACUUUGAGGCUUUUAAUUGAGUCCUCUCAUUUUGGCAAGUAGGUGAUGCACCUACUUGUCACCUACCAUCCUGCGCAGUCUCGCAAAAAUACGAGUAUCUCUCUACUCCGACUUCGUAUCAACAAACAAUUUAAUGCUUUAGAUACUAGAAUCAUAGAUAUUUAAUUUGGUAUGUAGAUCAUCCCCUAAUUCCAAGUAUAUUGGGGAAAAAGCUCAGUUACAUUUGACCUAAUUUUCAGCACAUUUAUGAAUGAAACUUGUGAUGAUCUUUUCCAACUUUUGUUUCAUAACUCGCUUGACUUCAAAACAUAACACCAACUAUCAUACGACUAAAAUAACUCAUAUUAUAAUCUCCUUAUAAUGUUAAUAACCCUAGUUUUACCCCAAAAGUACAUGGAAAAAUAUUCCAACUUGUCGACUUUUGACGAAACUUAUUUUCUUCAAUUUGUUUAGCUUCUUAGCCUUUAAACCCUCUUGCUACUUGGUAUUAAAUAUCUUAGAUAUUUGUAACCUCCACGUUAACAUGAUGAACUAACUUUAUAAACUUUUCAAAGAUGAUUCCCUUUUUGAGCUUACAUUAAUUGACUUAUGACGUUCUCUUACGUACGAAAAUAUGGGGUGUAACAAUACCAUUCGUGAGCGACUGUCCAUUUGAGUUUGUGUGUGGUGGUGAAUUUCACAUGGUUGAUUAACGUAUCUUCACUCCCACCAAUGAUCAUUUGUAUAGUACGAGAUGGUGAUAGUGGUUUUAGAGGUCCCUAAGGUUGAUCGCGUCCACGAGAAAAGUUGGCCCAUCCUCGAUUGCUCAGCAGUUCUUUCAGGUAUCACUUGUUUAACAUUCUUACCACUUUCUGUCGCAAACAUAUGCAGUCCUCGGUCUUGUGUCCCCUUUUAUGAUGGAAUUUACAUAGAACAUUCGAUCUCCUCGUGCUCGGAUUCGACUUCAUCUUGUGCGGCCACUACACCUUUGUGGCGAGCUUUUCCAGUGCGUACACUAUUUCUGAAGGAGAAAUACAAAAGUUAUGAGUAGAUAAUAGUGGAGGCAUACCUCUUUCAUUUCAGGGUGGUGCGAUGUGUCGAGGCGCACCAUCUAUAUGUCGUGGAGGAGGUGGGUUGGAUUUUCGGAUAUAGGGCUGGUGCCUUUCUCAAUUGAAACGUGGUAGUUGGUCCCUUCAGCCGUCAUUGCGGUGAUCUCUCCUUGUCUCUGUCUGGACCGAGGUUAGUCAUUGGAUCGGACCGUUCAGGCCAUCCUCAUCUGCCCUCACUUCGGCUCAAUAGGCAUUAUGGAUCUCUUCCCACGUGGUGGGGGGUACUUCAUGAGUCUACUUAGCAGCUUUUUGGUUGCUUUUGACCCAUUUCUAUUUAACCCAUUUUGAAAGGCUGCUACCGCCAUACUUUCUGACACGUUUGGUAUGCUCAUCCUUACCCUGUUGAAUCGGGCUAGGAAAUCCCGAAGUCCUUCAUCUGUCGUUUACCUGACAACGAAGAUAUCAUUUACCCUGGCCUCUGCCUUUUUCGCUCCUGCGUGAGCGGUGACUAACUUAUCUGCCAUUUCUUCGAACGUUCAUAUCGAUCGUGCUGGUAGUUGGGAAUACCAUAUCAACGCUCCUCUUUUCAGAGUUUUGCCAAACUUUUCAGCAGUACUGACGGCACCUGUUCUUUUGAUAGAUCGUUACCUUUUACUAUAGUAACGUAAUGGAUUAAGUGAUCCUCCGGGUCUGUGGUGGCAUCAUAUAUUUUUAGAUAUGGCAGCAUUUUGAAGGUUUUUAGAAUAGAGUGGGAAGCUGCCCCUUCACUAUAUGGUUGUUCGACGAAUCGGCCCACGUCACGUUUUGGUAGCAACUUCGGAGCGCCCGAUAUUUUAUCAACCCUUUCCUGAUGCUCUUUCAUCUGUCGUAGAGUGUUUUGUUCUCAUUUUCCAUCUCUUCCAUUUUCAUUAAGAUGGUCGCAAGUGCAUUGUUGCUUGCAUCAGCGACCGUAUGGGCGUUACUUGUUCGUGUAAUUUCUGGCUCAUCGACGACAGUUGCGGUUUCUGCGGGUAAUGUGUCUUCGAUAUCCCUCUAUACGGGUUUCUCGAGUAUGUUGCUCAAGAUAUUUGUCAGCCAUUCUUCUAAUAGCCUUUUCACGGCUGGUGGUACUUCUCUUGCUGUGGAUGUUAAGGUUUCCCUCUCGCGCGAGACAGUUAAACCCUCUUGGGGGGGUGUGAGAUCUCUCCCUCAGGUGUAGCACUUGAUGUUGCGUUUUUGUUGUCUUCUCCAUUGGCAUCAUUGAGGGAAUUCAGGAGGUUGUUCGUGACACCUACUAUUGCAUUUAGCCUUGUUUCUCCCUUUCCUGCAAUUGUUAGCCUUUGUAAGACUAAAAAGAGGUUAUUAUUUCUUUCAAGAAUCUAGACAAAACUAAGAUCUCAGCUAUAGAAAUCCCCACAGACGGCGCCACAUUGUUUGACUCAAAAGAUAUCGAAAUCUUUUUGAAUAAAUCAAUCAAAGAAAAUGAAGGGGUAAAUCUUAUCUAUGUAUAAUAAUCUCUAGAAAGAAAGAUAGAUAAGGGGAAUACGGAUGAUAAGAAUUCUUUAUCCCAUCUAGACCAAAAGACCUUUCACAAUAAUCUUCUCAAUCUUUUAUGUAAGCAAGUUUACAGCAAGUAUUAUGGAUUAGCAAAAGUGCCUGCCCUUACAAAGUUGUUUCAUGCUAUAUAUAUAUAUAUAUAUAUAUAACGNNNNNNNNNNNNNNNNNNNNNNNNNGUGCAGAUCCAGGUUCUUCUGCUCAGCCAUUCUACCAGUGAGGCGGGCGAUACCAGAGACUUCGAGGUAUAUAUGUCGCGUCCGCAAAUCUAGAAGUCCCUCUCUAUUCUCCCCUCUAGCUUUAGACUUCCUGUACUUACUUUUGAUUAGACAUUCUAGAGUUAGAACACUAUAUAGUUUUUCUACAGUUUGUGAUUUCAUGAGAUUCUGGGUUUUGGGAGUUUGAUUCAAUUUUGAGAGUAUGUAUUGUAUAUGCCGAGCGGCAUUUCCAAACUCUUUACUUAUAUUUUUACUCGUAACUUGCCAGUUUCGUAUUUCAUUUCCUUUUUCCGCAAUUUGUUAGGCUUACCUAGUUGUAGAGACUAGGUAUAGUCACGACAGUUCACGGAGGGAGAACUAGGGUCUUGAAAAGUUAGUAUCAGAGAUCUAGGUUCAUAGAAUGUCAUGAAUCGCAAGCCGAUUUAUUAGAGUCUCACGGAUCGGUACGGAGACGUCUGUACUUAUCUAUGAGAGGCUAUGUAACUAUUAGGAAAAUUCCACUUCAUUUGAUUUCCUUGUUAUGUAAGAGUUUUGAUAUCAAAAUUCUAAACCUCUAUCUUCUAUUCUCUCACAGAUGGCGAGGACACGUGCUACCGGAGAUGAACAGGAACCCGCACCCCCUACUAGAUCCAUCAGUGGUCGGGGCUGGGGUAGAGGCCAAGGACGUGCACGUGGUGCAGCCAGAGCACCCUCGCGAGCUGCCAUAGAGGAGCCACUAGCAACUCCAGCCGGAGCCCAAGCACCUGACACGCCUACUGCUACUACUACUACUCCAGCUCUUCAGGAGACCUUUGCACAGUUCGUGAGCAUGUACACCACUCUAGCUCAGGCAGGGUUAAUUCCCCUUGCUGCAGCCACAUCCCAGGAAAGGGAGGAGCCUAGACUCCCGCCUCCCAUACCCCAGAGCAGCGAGUCCUGGUUAAUUAGAUCCCAGAGGUUAUACCGGUACCGUCUGCAGCCCCAGUUAAGCCCGAGGAUAGGGCAGCAGCUUCGGAGGAUGAGCAGCGGAGGCUUUAGAUGUUCAAGAAGUACAAGCCUCCUAUAUUCAGUGGUCUAGCAUAAGAUGAUGCUCUGGUAUUUCUGGACAAGUUCUAACGUAUCCUCCGCACUAUGGGUAUAUCAGGAUCGAGUGGGGUUUACUUCAGUACCUUCCAUCUUCGAGGAGCAGCGUACCAAUGGCGGCGUACUUAUGAGUUGGAAAGACCAGCUGAGGCACCUUCCCUUAUAUGGACCUAGUUUUCAGAUAUAUUUUGAGGGAGUAUGUUCCUCAAAGCCUUAGGGAUGCAUGACGCGCUAAGUUUGAGCAUUUGCGCCAAGGUGCUAUGAUAGUUUCGGAGCAUGCUGUCCAUUUCACUGACUUGGCUAGGCAUGCAAAAGCCUUGGUUUCUACAGUUCGUGAGAGAGUUCACCGGUUUAUUGAGGGGCUCAUUCCUAGCAUCAAGUCUAGCAUGGCUCGGAAGUUGGAGAUAGAUAUCUCUUAUCAGCAGGUGGUGAGCAUUUCUAGGAGAGUAGAGGGUAUGCAUGCUUGGGAUAGAGAGGAUAGGGAAGCCAAGAGGUCUCGAGGGUCGGGUCAUUAUUCUGGUGCCCGUGCCCCAGUUGCAGUUCAUCAUGGUAGGGGUUAUAUGAGUCGCCCUGUUUAUUCAGCUCUUCUAGCAGCCAGUGGUAUUCCAGCUCCUCCUAGACCCAAAGAGCCUUAUUAUGAACCUCCAGUAUCUAGGCCUCCUACAUGGGGUGCUUUCAGUGGUUAGUCCAGCAGAACUUGAGCGAGCCAGUCACAGCCGCCACUUCCUCCCAGAGCUUGUUUUGAGUGUGGUGACACACACCAUAAGGUGAGAGAUUGCCCCAGACUUAGGAGGGGUGCACCUCCACAGACUUCUGAGCCAUAACAUGCUUCGUAGAGUUCUCAUGCUAUGAUUACAGCACUAGUUGUUGCCCCACCUACCCAACCAGAUAGAGGGGAGGUCGGGGAGGUAGAGGUCUCCCUAGAGGGGGAGGCCAAGCUAGAUAUUAUGCCAUUCCUGCCCAUACUGAGGUUGUCGCCUCCAAUUCUGUCAUCACAUGUAUUGUACUGGUUUAUCAUAUAGAUGCAUCAGUUUUAUUCGAUCUAGGCUCCACUUAUUCUUAUGUGUCCUCUUAUUUUGCCUCGUAUUUGGGCGUACCUCGGAAUUUUUUGAGUUCCCCUGUUUAUGUUUCUACUCCCGUGGGAGAUUCUCUUAUUGAGGACCACGUUUAUCAGUCAUGUUCGAUUGCUCUUAGUGGUUUUGAGACUAGAGCCGAUCUAUUAUUGCUCACCAUGGUAGAUUUAGAUGUUAUCUAGGGCAUGGACCGGUUGUCACCCUAUUAUGCUAUUCUUGCUUGUCUCGCCAAAACCUUGACAUUGGCUAUGCCAAAUGUACUGCGAGUAGAGUCAAGGGGUACCUUAGAUCACACUCCCAGUAGAGUUUUUUCAUUCCUUAAGUCUCAGCGAAUGGUUGACAAGGGUUGUGGCGCAUAUCUAGCUUACGUGACAGAUAUCAGUAUUUAUACCCCUAUAGUUGAUUGAGUCCCAGUAGUAUGGGAUUUCCUUGAUGUGUUUCCAACUGAUCUUCCGGGUAUGCCACCCGACAGCGAUAUUGAUUUCGGCAUUGAUUUGUUGUCGGUCACUCAGCCUAUUUUCAUUCCUCCUUAUCAUAUGGCCCCUCCUGAGUUAAAGGAGUUGAAGGAUAAGUUACAGGAAUUGCUCGAUAAGUGUUUUAUUCAGCCCAGUCACCUUGGGGUGCUCUUGUCUUGUUUGUGAAGAAAAAGGAUGGUUCUAUGCGUAUGUGCAUUGAUUAUCGCCAGUUGAACAAAGUUACAGUGAAGAACCAGUAUCCUUUGACUCGUAUUGAUGAUUUGUUUGACCAGUUAUAAGGUGCUCGAGUGUUUUAUAAGAUUGACUUGCGUUCAGGUUAUCAUUAGUUGAAGAUUCGAGAGCCAGAUAUCCCGAAGACUGCUUUCAAGACUCGGUAUGGUCAUUACGAGUUCCUUGUUAUGUCAUUUGGGCUGACCAAUGCCCCAGCAGCCUUUAUGCAUUUGAUACACAACAUUUUCUGCCAUAUCUUGACUCGUUCAUCAUUGUCUUUAUUGAUGACAUUCUGGUAUACUCCUAGAGUCGGGAGGAUCAUGAGCAGCACCUGAGGACAACGCUUCAGACUUUGAGAGAAAAGAAAUUAUAUGCAAAUUUCUCAAAAUGUAAGUUUUAGUUGGAUUCCGCGAAAUUCUUCGAUCACGUGGUAUCGAAUGAAGGGAUCAAGGUGGAUACAAAGAAGGUGGAGGCGGUAUAGAGUUGGCCCAGACCAUCCUCAACUAUAGAGAUCCGUAGUUUUCUUGGCUUGGCGGGUUAUUACCAUCGAUUUGUUUAGGGAUUUUCAUCUAUUGUAGCACCUAUGACCAAACUGACCCAGAAGGGUGCUCCGUUCCAGUGGACGGAAGAGUGUGAGGAGAUCUUCCAGAAGCUCAAGACAACUUCAGUAUGAUGACCCUCAUUUGCUUAUCCUCAUAGACAAGGUUCUGCAUGGUGAUGCUAGAGAUGUGACCAUUGGUGAUGAUGGUGUAUUGAAGAUGCAAGGUCGAGUAUGUGCACCCAAUGUUGAUGGGCUUCAAGAGUUGAUUCUAGAGGAAGCCCACUGUUUGCGGUAUUCCAUCCAUCUGGGUGCCGCAAAGAUGUACCAAAAUUUGAGACAUCACUAUUGGUGGAGGCGGAUAAAGAAUGAUAUAAUUGGAUUUGUAGCUAGGUGCCUCAAUUGUCAUCAGGUAAAGUAUGAGCACCAGAGACCAGGUGGUUUGCUUCAGCAGAUAGAUAUUCUGGAGUGGAAGUGGCAGCGGAUCACCACGGAUUUCGUAGUUGGACUCUCACAAACUUUGAGAAAGUUCGAUGCCAUUUGGGUGAUUAUGGAUCGGCUGACCAAGUUUGUGCAUUUCAUCCUUUGUGUACCACCUACUCUUCGGAACGGUUGGCGGUGAUUUAUAUCCAGAAGGCUAUUUGUCUGCAUGGUAUUCCAGUUUCCAUCAUUUUAGAUAGAGGUACUUAGUUUACAUCACGGUUCUGGAGGGCCGUACAACAUGAAUUGGAUACUUCGGUGGAGUUGAGCAUAGCAUUUCACCCCCAGACAGACUGACAGUCCGAGCGCACAAUUCAGAUUUUUAAGGGUAUGCGUCGUGCGUGUGUGAUGGAGUUUGGAGGUUCUUGGGAUCAGUUCUUGCCACUAGUGGAGUUUGCCUACAAAAACUGUUAUUAGUCCAACAUUCAGAUGGCACCGUAUGAGGCCUUGUAUGGUAGGCGGUCUAGAUCCCCGGCGGGUUGGUUUGAGCCAGGUGAGGCUAGAUUAUUAGGCACAUACUUGGUUCAAGACGCCUUGGAGAAGGUUAAGGUGAUAUAGGAUAGACUUCGCACAUCCCGGUCCAGAUAGAAGAGUUAUGCGGACCAGAAGGUUCGUGAUGUUUCCUAUAUGGUUGGAGAGCAGGUCUUGCUUCGGGUUUCGCCUAUGAAGGGCGUCAUGAUAUUUGGGAAGAUGGGGAAAUUGAGUCCGGCUUUUAUUUGUCCUUUUGAGGUAUUAUGACGUGUUGGGGAGGUUUCUUAUGAGCUUGCCUUACCUCCCAGCUUGGCAGGAGUUCAUCCGAUAUUUCAUAUUUCGAUGCUUAGAAAGUAUCACGGUGAUCCGUCACAUGUGUUGGAUUUCAGUUCAUUCCAGUUGGACAAGGAUUUAUCUUAUGUGGAGGAUCCAGUGGCGAUAUUGGGUAGGCAAGAUCGAAAGUUGAGGUCAAAGAACAUUGCAUCAAUGAAGGUUCAGUGGCGGGGUCAGCCGGUCGAUUAGGCGACUUGGGAGACCGAACGGGAUAGCGCAGUCAUUACCCUCUUCUUUUCACUACUUCAGAUAUGUUUCUAUGCUCGUUCGAGUACGAACGAAUGUUUUAAGCGGGGGAGGAUGUAACGAUCCGGCCAGUUUUUUUGAGAAUUAACGCCUUGAUCCCCUAUUAACUGCUUUCCCCGGGUUUAUUGUUGCUAUUGUGAGUUGCCGGGAAGUUUUGAGUUUCGAAGUGUUUUGGGACACGUAGUCCCUCAAUGAGAUCUUAAGCUUUAGAAUUUGGACCGUAGUCGGAGCAGUGUGACGACGUCCUCGAAGUGGAAUUCGUAGAUUCUGUUAGCUUCGUUAAGUGAUUUCGGGAUUAAGGGCGUGUUCGGAUUGUGUUUUGGAGGUCUGUGGCUUAUUUAGGCUUGAAAUGCUGAAAGUUGAAUUUUUGAAGUAUUCAGAUUGAUAGUGAGAUUUUUAUAUCGGGGUCAGAAUCCAAUUCCGAAAGUUGGAAUAGCUCUGUAGUGUUGAAUGUGACUUGUGUGCAAAAUUUGGGGUCAAUCAGACAUGGUUUAGUUGGUUUCAGCAUCGGUUGUAGAAUUCUUGAGAUUUCAAGUUCAUUAGGCAUGGAUUGGAGGGUGAAUCAUGGUUUUAGCGUUGUUUGAUGUGAUCUGAGGUUGGAUUAAAUUUGUAUGAUGUUUUAGGAUUGGUUGGCAUGUUUGGUUGAGGUCCCAAGGGCCUCACGUGAGUUUCGGGUGUUUAAUGGAAUUAGAUUUGGACUUAGGCAUUUUCUGAUAUUGCUGAAUCUAUCAUAACCGCACCUGCGUAUGUGGGACGGCAAGUGCGGGACUGCAGAAGCGGCUUGAUGAUCGUAGAAGCAGAUUUAGGCUAGGGCUUCAGGAAUCGCAGGUGCGGCUGGCUGACCGCAAAUGCGGAACCACAGAUGCGGCCAAGUGACCGCAAAUGCGUCCCCAGCCCGGUUAAGUGAAUUUCGCACCUGCGAUGCCUUUUCCGCAGGUGCGUCCCCCCUGACGCAUAUGCGGUAAUCGCUCGGCAGAUAUAGAACUUUUGAGAGUUUGAAGUUCAUAACAUUAAAUUUGAUUUUAGCUCGGGAGAAGGCGAUUUUGAGAGGGUUUUGAAGAGGAAAUCAGUGGGUAACGAUUCCUAACCCUAUUUCGUUUAUAUUUUAUCAAUCUAUUGUUGUUUUACACAUUUAAUCUAAGAAUUUGAGUGGAAGAAUGGGGAUUUGGGGGACAAGUUCCCCAAUUGAAAAUUCGAGUUUUGAGUAAGAUUUGGAGUCGGAUUUUGAUGAUUUUUGUUUGAGUGUGCUCGUGAGUGAAUGGGUGUUCAUAAUUUCUGACUUUUACCCGAUUCCGAGGCUUGGGCCUGGGGAGGAUUGUCGGGCGUUUUUCUAUUUCCUUACCUUAGCUUCGAUUCCUUUAGCUAAAUUUGUUGUUUGUUAUAUUUACAUUAUUAAAUUUAUUUAAUUAGAUUUGGCCCACUAAGAGUUGGAUAAUCGUUGCAAGAGCGUGAUUUCAGAUUUAUUUUGAGUUGGUUCGAGGUAAGUGGUUUGCCUAACCUUGUGUGGGGUGACUCUCCUUAGAAUUUUGGUAUUGUUGUUAUAUGAGUGUCGUAUACGUGAGGUGACGAGUGUGUAAACGUGCUAAUUGUUGAAAAACUCCAUUUUCAUUAAGUAAAUAUCUGCGUUUUCUUCUAAUUGAGAAAUUCUUGUACUUGAAGCCUCUUGUUUAGUUUAGGAAAAGCAUGCUCAUGUGAUCUAAUUGUCUUACUUGCUUUAUCUGCUUACUUGUAUUUUGUGAAACAUGUUUAGAGUAGAAUUCCUAUUUAUUUUCGAAUAGAAUUGUAGGUUCUUUCUUGAGACUGUUGUUUGUUUACUUUGGGACUACGGGACGAUAUCCCGGGAGAUGCCCCUGCAUGUUUACUUUGGGACUACAGAUCGGUAUUCUGAGAGAUCCCCCUGCACGUUUACAUUUGGGACUACGGGACAAUACCCGGAAGAUUCUCCUGUACUAGAUAUUUACUUUGGGCCUACGGAUUGGUAUUCCGGGAGAUUCUCCUACAUAUUUAUGAUUCGGGCUACGAGACGAUAUCAUAGGAGAUCCUCUACACAAUUACAUUAGGAAUUAUGGGACGAUAUCCUCGGAGAUCCCUUGUUGCUAUCUCUAUGUACUGAGUAUAUUAUGUCUGUGAUUUUACUCUUUAUCAAUUGUUAGUAUUUUUAAUUAUACCGUAGCACUUCAUACUAUUUUACCUUGUUUUAUAUGUAUAUAACCAAUAGGGCCCUGACCUUCCUCGUCACUACUCGACCGAGGUUAGGCUUGACACUUAGUGUGUAUCGUUGUAGUGUACUCAUGCCCUUUCCUCCACAUAUUUUUUGUGUGCAGAUCCAGGUUCUUCUGCUCAGCCGUUCUACUAGUGAGGCAAGCGAUAUCAGAGAUUUCAAGGCAUAUCUGCCGCAUCCGCAGAUCCAGAAGUCCAUCUCUAUUCUCCCCUCUAGCUUUAGACAUUCUGUAUUUACUUUUGAUUAGAUAUUCUGGAGUUAGAACACUAUAUAGUUUUUCUACAGCUUGUGAUUUCAUGAGAUUCCGGGUUUUGGGAUUUUGAUUCGGUUUUGAGAUAACGUAUUGUAUAUACCGAGCGGCAUUUUCAAACUCUUUACUUAUGUUUUUACUCGUAACUUGCCAGUUUUGUAUUUCAUUUCCUUUUUUCAAAAUUUGUUAGGCUUACCUAGUUGUAGAGACUAGGUGCCGUCACGAAAGUUCAUGGAGGAUGAACUAGGGUCAUGACAGUUUCACUGGCAAAGUCUUGGAACAAUCUAUCAAAAUGCUUCUGUGCUUCUCCAUCAGACGGCUGGUGCAGCACACCAUCUAGCCUUCUAUAUUCAUAGCGCUAUCUCAUAUGAGGAGCGGAACUCAUUGAUGUAUAAUACCUCUUUAACCUUAGUAUAAGGGGUAAGUAGUGCAUCAACUUCAAUGGAACCUUCUUCUAUUUAGCAUUUGUGACAUCAUUGAAAUAAGGCAGGUUAAAAAAUGUAUUAUUUUCUAAAGCUUCAUCAUCCUUAUAGAAUAACAUGCAACCUUUAUUACAACAAUCAAUCCUCUUCGAUGAAAGACUCAACUUGGAAACUAAUUUCUUUGCCGUGUAAAAAUCUUUGGGCAGGUAAAUCUUUGUCGGAUUAAGUUCAUUCAUAAGGCCAAUGAUAGAAUCCAUGUCACUUGAGAAAUAGAAUUAUCUGAUUUAAUACUUAGUAAUCUAACUGCAACAAACAAUUUGGAAUACAUUGCGCCUUCAUAAAGAGGACAACUAGCUUCCUCUAACUACUUGAAGAAGCUCUUAGCCUCAUCAUUUGGUUUAGAUUGAGCCCCUGGGAACAUCUCAAAAGCAUCCCUCAUCAUUUCAUUGAAUCGAAAUUUUUUUACAUUAUUAUUCCCCGCUAUGGGACUAUCGUCUUCUCCACCAAAAGAAUUUUGAAAAUCAAUAUCAUUUACACUAGCAUGACUCUGCUCAUAAAUAGUCCACUCAUAAUAAUUUACCAUACACCCCUUCUUAUAUAGAUGAACAGUAAUAAUGUCGGAAGCCAAUAACUUAACUCACUUGCAUUUCACACAAGGACACCUAAUCGUCCCUUCAAUAAGGAAAUCAUCAAAUGUCUUUUCUUUACCAAUAAAGCCAGCAACCACUUCUAUAAAUUCUUCCCGCAAACCGUUACGAUUCGCAUGAUUCCUAUUGUACAACCAUCUACGAUGUGUAAAUUCCAUCUACACAUAGAAGAAAAUUAGAAAUUGAAAUAUUUAUGUUAUUUACCCUAAUCAAUAAAUUUUAUUCUUUAAAGGUUACUUAUCUAAAUAGUUUAAUUAUAUAUUUAAGUGUAAUUUGAUAUUUAUCUAUCUGAUUUAGUAAUCUAAAAAGGUUUUUGCAUUCAUCCAUACUCAUUGGUAAACUCAAAAGCAACAACAAGCGUUAAACAUUAUAUUCAAAAAACCUUAGCUUAAUACAAUUUCAAACCAAUGAGAUUAUUAUAUUUAAUAAACUUUAAUCUUACAAUUAUUUUGUAUAUUUACUUCACUAUUGUUUAAAGUAUAGAAGCUACAUAACAUAAAUAAUAUAAAAUACAAUUAAAUCCCUUUGAAAGAUGAAUCAAAAUUAAUGCUAUAAUUAUUCAACACACUACUUAAUGGUAACUGAAUAACAUAUAUACAUUACAAUGUGAAAAUAAAGUCAAAAUUGAAUAGUUUUAUUCCUAAUUUUAUAACAUAUAUAAUUUACCAUACCUUUCGAAGAUUACUCCUAUUGAAGAAGAAUAUAUAUCUCAACUUUCAAAAGAAGAUUAAUUUUAAUGUUACUCAAGGUUAAUUCACUUCUAAUUUUUUUAUUCAAAAGAAGAUUACUUUUAAUGUUACUCAAGGAUCUAAACAAUAGUUAUUCAAAGUCAAAAUUAAAUUAUUCUUCAUUUCAACUCUAAUUUCAAUUCUAAUCAUAUCAAACAAAAAAAUCUACAAUUCAAAUUUUAAUAGCAAUACAAAUAAAAAGAACAAAUAUAUUAACAUUCAAGUCCAGAGAAAGAUGAUGGAAGGACUUACCUCGCCAGAGAAGAUGCAUGCUGCCGGAGAAGACUCACGUUGCCGGAAAAGAUAUAAACACUACCUGAAAAAGAAAAAAAGAGGGGUUAGAAGGGGAGUUGGCCUUGACAGAGAUGAGGCGGAGAGGGAGGAAGGGAAAAAGAGAUAUAUACCGUCGGGCAAUUCGGCAACGACGACGUGGGAUGAACAAGUGGGCAAAGAGAGUGAAGGGGGCUAAGAUAAGAGAAAGAAAAGAGAAAGAGAAUAAAAA
rnacentral:lncRNA from 1 species